rnacentral:tRNA from 1 species
GGGAAGGUGGCUCAGUGGUAGAGCGCUUGUCUAGCAUGCAUGAAGCCCUGGGUUCGAUUCCUCUGUACCA